CGUCCUUAGCUCAGUUGGUUAGAGCAUCUGACUUUUAAUCUGGCCGUCAGAUUGAAUUGUCUGCACAA
rnacentral:tRNA from 1 species